ensembl:lncRNA
AAAAACUCCUCUUUGUCCCUGUCUUCUCUAAGUAGCAAAGCUUCAAUUCCCCCAGCCCUCGGUCCCCAGCCUGCUUUUGAGCGUCCACCACUCUGUGUGGCCUUUGCCUUGGUAGGUACCCGUGCCCACACAGCACCAAACCCAAUCUUGGUGCUUAACGAAUGCUAAUUAAUGGGACGUGUAGAAUGGCACGGUGAUUAAAAUGAGGUAUUUUCUCCUGCUGAAGAAUGAUUAAUAUCUUGGACAGAUGUGAGUGUUGUGCUUUGUUAGCGGUACGUUGCGUGGCAGAUAGGCACACGCACAAACAGCACCCCGUCGGAAUACUAAUUAGUCCUCCUGAAUGCAAUUCAUUGAAAAGACAGUGUUCCAAAUUCCACACAACUAAUGUUACAAUUAAAACACUUGAAUAACGCUCUCAUUUUAAAUUCCUUCGACAAAUGCUUGUGCAUGCCUACACACUCAGAGACAGCAGAACCGGAGAUAAAUGCACUUAAGAUCUCUUAGACUGGAAGAACUAAAUGGAGGACCCACCUCCAGAGUUAGUAACAUGCUCUGCCCAGUGGGAAUCUGUAUCAAUUGCAUUGACUGUGUGUUUUCACAUUUUUCAUAGUUAGCUCCCAAAGGUGCAGGGCACCAGCUAGCAGGAUUUUCCAAUACCAUGUUGAGGUCAGCUCCCAUUAGCACACAAGUCAGGUACCUAAACACAUACAGAAAUCCCAUCAAGUCCCAUUUGCUUUCUGUGUAACUUUAAAAUCUAGUUCUCAGUAAAAAAAAAAAGUAUCUACUUCCCCUUGUAGAUGUCUUGACUAAGAAGAGUACCACAAAGAGGUGCAUAUCGCUGCUGUCUCUGGAGCCUUCGGCCUUGCUAGGCCAAGCACUCAGGUGCCCAUUUAAUUUUGUCAGCCACAGGACAACUCCAUGAGCAGCUUUGGCAGCUGGUCCAAAUCUGCAGAAGUCUCCAGGACAAGCGAAUUAAUUUCUUCAGGCUGCCCCACCGCAGCCCAAGGAAGACAUAGACAGAACUACCACCUCCAUGGGACGUCCUGCCUGAAUCCAACCCACCACCAAAGCAGAAGGCAACAACCCCAGAUCGCAAAGUUCUCCCGUUUCAAAGGUCACCUGAAAUGACUGCUCAAUCCAGUUUACAUUCACAGCACAUUGAAAUCAUGGGUAUUGGACUUGUCAGCUGAAUUUUUCAAUUUGGCACCAGAGGAAAACUAAAUUGCUAUUGAGGUGCCAUGUGAAAUGUCCUGAUCCCAGGAUGCAAGAUGUCAAAGGAUACAACGUGGGGCACCUAGGGGCCUGGAGGGAUACAAAAUUGAAAACGCAUUGUCAUGAAGUUGGCAGGUAUUCCUGAGAACAAAGAAAACAAUCUGCUGCUGCUUCUUGAUGCGCACUCCAAAUAUUUCCUUGGCUGAGCCUUUGUUCAGUCAAGCACAAGACUGCAAAUUUCUUUUGUUUCCAAUGCAUUUUCUAUUACACUUUACAGACUUAAUUCCAAGCCUCGGGUCUGUGCACAUUAGACACACUUAGUUUUGCAUCUGUUUGGCCUGUGUGCUGGAGGUGUAAGAUGGCUGACAGCAGUCACUUAAUUACAGUCAAAAUCUUAAGAACCAGAACGAAUAUUUAGCCAUUAAUCCAAUCAGUAAAGCACACAUUAUUGUCGUUACUGUACACUUAAAAUUAAAACAACAAAGCCUCAAGCAGGAAAAAUCAGUAAGAAGACAGCCGAGCUUGACACAGAGCUUUUUAAAUAAAAUUAUUGGGUGUAAGACUUGUGUGCGCGUU